AGCAAGAUGAUGAGCCAUUGUGAUCUUAACUUGAUGUGCAUAACACUUUAAUGUCUCCAAAGUAAUCUGAUUUGUU